rnacentral:rRNA from 1 species
AGAUUGAACGCUGGCGGCGUGCCUAACACAUGCAAGUCGAGCGGUAACAGGUGUAGCAAUACAUGCUGACGAGCGGCGAACGGGUGAGUAAUGCUUUGGAAUCUUCCCAGUAGUGGGGAAUAACCAGUCGAAAGAUUGGCUAAUACCGCAUACGUCUGUAAAGGGAAAGCGGGGGCUCGUAAGACCUCGCGCUAUUGGAUGAGCCAAAGUCGGAUUAGCUAGUUGGCGAGGUAAUGGCCCACCAAGGCAAUGAUCGGUA